CAGCUGGGGCCGUGUUCGGGCUGCUUCUGUGCUGAUGCCUGUCACAACUCCAUCUCUCCAUUGUCUGCAAAAUCAAGUCUGAGCAGUCUGAAUCACAUAUGACUAAUUGGAGUGUAGUAGUUAUAACUCCUAAAUCGGGCUCGCGGAGUGGGGGGUGUGAACGUACCUUCUGAUGUGGCAGUACAGGGAGGGCCAUUAUCCUGGAGUCUGUAUUUUGCCACAGAUUUCUUUAGGAGAGGAUUGGGCUGCUUAGAGCCCAUUUCCUGGUUUCUCAUUUAAUUCUUUACCUGCUCUGGGGGCCCAUUUUCCCACAAGUAGUAGGCCAGCCGUUUGCUUGUCAUAUGUUGCAAUUAUGGAAAACUUUGCCCCUACUCAAAAGGAGGUGGUUGACACAGCCCCAUUGGCUGAAGCCCCUCCAGGAGAUGCACGGCCAUGCAGCAGGAGGUUUGUGCCGAUGUUAUGUGAUAGGGAAGCAAACUGAGCAUCCUGGAGGCUUCUCAGCAGCACGGUCAUGUUGAAAGUCAAAGUCCUUGGGAGAGGACUCAGAGCUAUACUGAGCCAAAAUCCUCUGCAUUUGCUGCCACUGUUGUCUCAGUGGGGUGGGUCGAGCUGAUGGCUGUGACUGCUGGCAGAUCUGUAUCCUAAAUAUUUUGCCCCAGGUCACAUGGAAACCCUGAACUGGGAGAAGGCAGCCAGCUGUACCAGCAAGGAGAGAGACGGGCUGACCUCCCUGGCUACCACAGCCAUGUGGGUGGGAAGGAGCUCCGGGCUAGCGAGCAUUAAGGUGUCAGGAGCACGGCUUAUAGCUGCAUCACUGCUCACUGCUUUCAGGAGGGUGUUACUCUGCUAUGAAAUAAAUCCAGUUUUACAGAAAUAGCUCUGUCCUCACCAAACAAGCCUUGCAGGAUAACAUGCUGCUAUUCCCGUACUGAUAAUGCUGUACUGCUAUGGAAAUCGCCUUAACACCGCUGCUGUCUGUUGUCUGUAGAGUGGGAAUUGUGACCCUCCUCUCACCUUAUUCCUUCAUCCAAACAAGUGGGAGUGUCAGAUCCAUGCUGUGGAAUGGCCAGACCCUCCAGAUUUGGCUGCAGCGGAAGGCAGACCAUGACCUCAUGCAGCAGUGAAAUGCCAUGCAAUAUUGUUAGUGCCUUGUUGUUGCUUUAGGAACCGCUCUACAAGAAAGGUAGCUAAAAGACAGAAGCCUUCUCUCCAUUAAUUGCACAACAUCUCCAGCUUUGCAAUGUCUUGUUUGAGGGGAAGGCACUGAGAUAUGUGUACAUGUGAGAACUG
ensembl:lncRNA